rnacentral:snRNA from 1 species
AUACCUUUCUCGGCCUUUUGGCUAAGAUCAAGUGUAGUAUCUGUUCUUAUCAGUUUAAUAUCUGAUAUGUGGGCCAUGUGCCCACAACGAUAUUAAAUUUAUUUUUUAUGGGGGAGGGUUCAUCACACUAGCUUGCUAGUGGGGCCCUUAUGUGUGGCCUGGGCGUUGCACUACUGCCUAGGCCAGGCACACCCC